AUGACGGUCAGCGUCCCUGUGGAGUGGACUUAGGGAGCACCGCCGAUGGAGGGGGAGGUUUCUUCGAGGAGGGAGAACUCCCACCGGGUUCGGCGUCCCCUGGCGUUGACAACAUGGAUUGCUUUGUGCAACAAAUGUGCGACGCUUUUCACGAUGGGUCUUUGGGCAUCGACCUUAACAUCGAUCUUGAGCAGAUAAAUAAUGUUGAGCCCACAAUCCCUUAUUCAGAUGUUGCGAUGGAGGGGCCAAGCUUCUCGAAGCCGGAUGCCGGCUUACUAGCUGACAUGCUGGCUGAGCAAACUUCCAGAGGGACC